rnacentral:tmRNA from 1 species
CGUCUUCAAAAGGCUGCUCGGGAUGCUUAUAUUGGCGUCGUCGGGAAACCGACUAUGGCGAUAAACGCCGCGUGGAAUAAGCGUAUCGGACCCGGGGGCAGUACCCGGCGCCUCCACCAUUCUCCGCCGCAUCCUCGGGGUGCGGCGUCGAUGGGGGCGAACCAGGAUCGACGAGCGUGGUAAAGGCGCGGUUUUUGCCCGGUAUGGUUCCGCCGUGACGGGCCAUUCACAAGUGCCAACGAUAACGACGUUGCACUCGCUGCUGCCGCCUAAACAGCGGACGUAAGCGCGGUUCGGGAGGGCACCGGGCAACAGAAGCCCUCCCACU